rnacentral:rRNA from 1 species
CGUAGGUGGCGAACGUUAUCCGGAAUAACUGGGCGUAAAGGGUCCGUAGGCGGCCUUGAAGGUCUGGCGUGAAAGCCCUCGGCUAAACUGAGGGAGUGCGUUGGAAACCGCGAGGCUAGCAUCACGCAGGGGCUGGUGGAAUUCCCGGUGUAGUGGUGGAAUGCGUAGAGAUCGGGAGGAACCUCUAGAGCGAAGGCAACCGGCUAGGCGAUGAUGGACGCUGAGGGACGAAAGCGUGGGGAGCGAACAGGAUU